CGAUGGUAGGCAGGGCAACCAGAGGGCUUCUGGGUCUCCGGCAGGCCGCACUGGCUUGCAGACCUGAUCCCAUCAGACCUAAGGCUUCUUCAAGUCCAGUUAGUUCUGGACUCCUCCGGGUAUACCCGGCCACAGCAAAGUAACACGUGUCCAGUAAAUCAAUUAAGAAAUUAAUGAAAAACAUGUAAAAACAAGUUCCAGGCCCGUUGCUCAAACAGCCAGCAGUUCUGAGCCUCACCUUCUAGUUCUUUCCUCUCUGAGGAUCCACCGAGGAAGCCACUUGUGGUCUUUGGAAGGUCUCAUUUCCACGGACUGCAGUCACUUGUGAACUUGGUCAGUCCUUUGCCGGCUUGGCCUCAGUGCUCCCUUUCUGCAAUGGAUGAUCAGAGCAAGCUGUGUUCUAAGCAUGUCACAGGAUCCACCAAUAAGGUUGCUUCACGGUGGAGAAGGGCAUGCCUGAGAGCCCCAAGCCCCUGAGGAAUAUUGUGGCAAUCAAGUCCGCUGUAUAACCAACCAUCACCAUCGAUGCCUCAGCCUAUAAAGAGGCUAACUAGAAGCUACUCAGGUAUCCAGGCCUCUGGACCCUACACUUGACCUGCCCGGUGUUUCUCAACCAUCCCAACACUGCGACCCUUGUUACAGUUCCUCAUGUGGUGACCCCCAACCAUAAUAUUAUUUUCUUUGCUACUUUGUAACUGUAAUUUUGCUACUGUUAUGAAUGGCAAGUAUCUGGUAUGCAGAAUGUAUUUUCAUUGUUACAAAUUGACCCAAAGCGGUCGCCACCCACAGGCUGAGAAGCACUACACUAGACCAAGCAUAUGGGAUCCAGGGAGACUGAGGCUUGAGUAGAAACUGUCAGUCCUCUCUCUGUUUAAAGGACAAUUGGGGCGAUUCAACAGAGAGGACUACUCCUCUAGGAUCUGAGCCAGUUUUGAGGUGUGAACAGAUUAAUAAAACUAAGUAACUACGAAAAUGUCAAAGCUAUUCUUUUGAUGG